GUCCCUGCUUCAUUCUCCAUCUGCUUGGCAGGCUAUCCCCAAGUCAUUAGGCCCCUGGAUGGGUACCCAGCUGGGGGGGAGUGGAGUAGGAGGGAACGGGGCCUGUUCCACUACGCCUGGCACUGGCCAUAUAGAAGGGGGCAUCUGGCGAGCGAGAACCCCAGGUCAGGCUAUCUGAGGAAGGAGCACAUCGGUGGGCACUUCAUGGAUGGCUCACUGUCUGUCCCUGGCAGCUUGUCAUUUAUCACUGCUGAGAAGCAAUGUCAGGUUUUCCUUGUCGGCCGGCCUGACAAAUCUUUACCUGGUCCCCGUGCCCCGCUCAGGACUUGUCUUGCAGCAAAGGAUGGCCUGUGUUAAACAGACAGCUCGGUGAUAGAAAGUGUCCAGUUGGAGACAAAGAACGCAGACAACAGAUAUGAGUCCACACACAUACAUGCCCGCGGCCCGCAGGAAUUUACAGUGC
ensembl:lncRNA